rnacentral:tRNA from 1 species
GGUCUGUGGCUCAGUAGUAGAGCACUUGCCUAGAAUGUGUGAGGCCCUGGGUUCGAUCCUCAGCACUA